AUUGAACGCUGGCGGCAUGCCUUACACAUGCAAGUCGAACGGUAACAGGUCUUCGGAUGCUGACGAGUGGCGAACGGGUGAGUAAUACAUCGGAACGUGCCUAGUAGUGGGGGAUAACUACUCGAAAGAGUGGCUAAUACCGCAUGAGAUCUACGGAUGAAAGCAGGGGAUCGCAAGACCUUGUGCUACUAGAGCGGCCGAUGGCAGAUUAGGUAGUUGGUGGGAUAAAAGCUUACCAAGCCGACGAUCUGUAGCUGGUCUGCGAGUACGAUCAGCCACAGUGGGACUGAGACACGGCCCAGACUCCUGCGGGAGGCAGCAGUGGGGAAUUUUGGACAAGGGGCGUAAGCCUGAUCCAGCAAUGCCGCGUGCAGGAUGAAGGCCUUCGGGUUGUAAACUGCUUUUGUACGGAACGAAAAGCCCCGGGUUAAUACCCUGGGGUCAUGACGGUACCGUAAGAAUAAGCACCGGCUAACUACGUGUCAGCCGCCGCCGUAA
rnacentral:rRNA from 1 species